rnacentral:SRP_RNA from 1 species
GGGCGUCAAGGUGACUGGACUUGGGUUCGGCCCAGAAGGUAGGGCCUGUGGUUGCUUCUUGCUGGCCUGCCCGUUCCAAGUGGGGAGUUGGCCUGCGGGGGUCCUUACGAAAGCGGGGGCUUCGUGGUUCCUAAAGAGGAGGGUACAGCGUGAGGCUGGUUUCACAGAGCAGCGAUUACCUCCCGCUCUCUACGGUGGAAGGAUUACAGGCCGGUGCUUCCUCGGCCCAAUAACGCCUGAUGGGUCUCUCCUAAUUGGACAGUCAUCUUU